rnacentral:rRNA from 1 species
GAUGAACGCUGGCGGCGUGCCUAAUACAUGCAAGUCGAGCGAACAGACGAGGAGCUUGCUCCUUCGACGUUAGCGGCGGACGGGUGAGUAACACGUAGGUAACCUACCUAUAAGACUGGGAUAACUUCGGGAAACCGGAGCUAAUACCGGAUAAUAUUUCGAACCGCAUGGUUCGAUAGUGAAAGAUGGCUUUGCUAUCACUUAUAGGUGGACCUGCGCCGUAUUAGCUAGUUGGUAAGGUAACGGCUUACCAAGGCAACGAUACGUAGCCGACCUGAGAGGGUGAUCGGCCACACUGGAACUGAGACACGGUCCAGACUCCUACGGGAGGCAGCAGUAGGGAAUCUUCCGCAAAGGGCGAAAGCCUGACGGAGCAACGCCGCGUGAGUGAUGAAGGUCUUCGGAUCGUAAAACUCUGUUAUUAGGGAAGAACAAACGUGUAAGUAACUGUGCACGUCUUGACGGUACCUAAUCAGAAAGCCACGGCUAACUACGUG